AGAAGUUUAAAGACCAUAAAAGUGGAAUGUCAAAUGAAUAAUGGCCUUUCCAUAUCUUAAUUAAAGAAUAAAUUAGAAAAACUAAUCCCAAAAGCUUUGUGAAAAAAUAAUGGACUUACCGAAAAAGGAAUAAUUGACAGACCCAAUCAUUUGCUACAAAUAUAUUGAGCUUAUUCAAGUUAUAGAUGAAAUGCACGACAUGCAACCUUCGUGUUAAACACUAACUGAUACAUUCCAUCCCCGUUUUUAAAGUAAAG
rnacentral:lncRNA from 1 species